CACGUAGGGCGCAAGCGUUGUCCGGAAUUAUUGGGCGUAAAGAGCUCGUAGGCGGUCUGUUGCGUCCGCUGUGAAAACUCGGGGCUUAACCCCGAGCCUGCAGUGGAUACGGGCAGACUAGAGGUAGGUAGGGGAGAAUGGAAUUCCCGGUGUAGCGGUGAAAUGCGCAGAUAUCAGGAGGAACACCGGUGGCGAAGGCGGGUCUCUGGGCUGAUACUGACGCUCAUGCACGAAAGCGUGGGGAGCAAACAGG
rnacentral:rRNA from 1 species